GGGAUGUAGCUCAGUUAGGUCCAGAGCAAGCGGCUGUUAACCGCUGUGUCGGGGGUUCGAAUCCCUCUAUCCCC
rnacentral:tRNA from 1 species